rnacentral:rRNA from 1 species
GCGGGAAGAGCUCAAUUUAAAAUCUGGCGCAGCCCGAGUUGUAGUCUAGAGAGGCGUUUUCCGUGCCGGACCGUGUACAAGUCCCUUGGAAUAGGGCGUCAUAGAGGGUGAGAAUCCCGUCCAUGACACGGACUCCCGGUGCUCUGUGAUGCGCCUUCAAAGAGUCGAGUUGUUUGGGAAUGCAGCUCAAAACGGGUGGUAAAUUCCAUCUAAAGCUAAAUACAGGCGAGAGACCGAUAGCGAAGCAAGUACCGUGAAGGGAAAGAUGAAAAGCACUUUGGUAAAGAGAGGUUAAAACAAGGNNACGUGGAAAAUUGGUUGGAAAGGGAAAAACGCCUUUGGAGUCAGUCGCAUGGACAGGAUUUCAGCCUUGCUUCUGCUUGGUGUAUUUCUGUGCUUCAUGGGCCAACAUCAAUUUUGGUCGCCGGAAAAGGGCUUGAGGAAGGUGGCACCCUCGGGUGUGUUAUAGCCUCUUGUCGUAUACGGUGGCUGGGAUUGAGGACUGCAGCACGAACCGGGGUUCGCCCACGCCACGUGCUUAGGAUGUUGGCGAAAUGGCUUCAAGCGACCCGUCUUGAAACACGGACCAAGGAGUCUAACAUGCCUGCGAGUGUUUGGGUGGUAAACCCAUGCGCGUAAUGAAAGUGAAAGGUUGGGACUCUGUCACAGGAGGCACCGACGCCCGAUCCUGACGUUCUCUGACGGAUUUGAGGUAGAGCAUGUAUGUUGGGACCCGAAAGAUGGUGAACUAUGCCUGAAUAGGGCGAAGCCAGAGGAAACUCUGGUGGAGGCUCGUAGCGAUUCUGACGUGCAAAUCGAUCGUCAAAUUUGGGUA